AACGAACGCUGGCGGCAUGCCUAACACAUGCAAGUCGAACGAGACCUUCGGGUCUAGUGGCGCACGGGUGCGUAACGCGUGGGAACCUGCCCUUAGGUUCGGAAUAACUCCCCGAAAGGGGUGCUAAUACCGGAUAAUGUCUUCGGACCAAAGAUUUAUCGCCUUUGGAUGGGCCCGCGUUGGAUUAGCUAGUUGGUAGGGUAAAAGCCUACCAAGGCGACGAUCCAUAGCUGGUCUGAGAGGAUGAUCAGCCACACUGGGACUGAGACACGGCCCAGACUGCUACGGGAGGCAGCAGUGGGGAAUAUUGGACAAUGGGCGAAAGCCUGAUCCAGCAAUGCCGCGUGAGUGAUGAAGGCCUUAGGGUUGUAAAGCUCUUUUACCCGGGAUGAUAAUGACAGUACCGGGAGAAUAAGCUCCGGCUAACUCCGU
rnacentral:rRNA from 1 species